rnacentral:rRNA from 1 species
UGGGGAAUCUUGCACAAUGGAGGAAACUCUGAUGCAGCGACGCCGCGUGAGCGAAGAAGCCUUUCGGGGUGUAAAGCUCUUACGCCAGGGACGAUAAUGACGGUACCUGGAGAAGCAGCUGCGGCUAACUACGUGCCAGCAGCCGCGGUAAUACGUAGGCAGCAAGCGUUGUUCGGAAUUACUGGGCGUAAAGGGUGCGUAGGCGGCGCUCUAAGUUUGGUGUGAAUUCUCCCGGCUUAACUGGGAGGGUGCACUGAAAACUGGGGCGCUCGAGUAUGGGAGAGGAAAGCGGAAUUCCUGGUGUAGCGGUGAAAUGCGUAGAGAUCAGGAGGAACACCUGCGGUGCAGACGGCUUUCUGGACCAUCACUGACGCUGAGGCACGAAAGCGUGGGUA